rnacentral:rRNA from 1 species
AUUGAACGCUGGCGGAAUGCUUUACACAUGCAAGUCGAACGGCAGCACGGACUUCGGUCUGGUGGCGAGUGGCGAACGGGUGAGUAAUGUAUCGGAACGUGCCCAGUCGUGGGGGAUAACGUAGUGAAAAUUACGCUAAUACCGCAUACGAUCUAUGGAUGAAAGCGGGGGAUCGCAAGACCUCGCGCGAUUGGAGCGGCCGAUAUCAGAUUAGGUAGGUGGUGGGGUAAAGGCCCACCAAGCCAACGAUCUGUAGCUGGUCUGAGAGGGCGACCAGCCACACUGGAACUGAGACACGGUCCAGACUCCUACGGGAGGCAGCAGUGGGGAAUUUUGGACAAUGGGCGAAAGCCUGAUCCAGCCAUUCCGCGUGCAGGAUGAAGGCCCUCGGGUUGUAAACUGCUUUUGUACAGAACGAAAAGGUUUCUACUAAUACUAGGAGCUCAUGACGGUACUGUAAGAAUAAGCGCCGGCUAAUUACGUGCCAGCAGCCGCCGUAA